CUCAAAUAUAUGAAUUCAUUUUUUUUUGUUUUCUUGAUCAAAUUUAUAUUUUGCUUCCUCACGACAAACACGUCCUAAAGCUAUAUUUUGAAUUCCUCAAAAAUUUCAAUUGCCGUUAUUCAAUUUGAAUUUCCUUUCCCCAAAUCAUAUAUCCCCAAAUGAAGGAACCAAUUCCCGUCGGCACCCUUCCGCCUUUCUCACGCCGGAGACUACACUCCAUCACCGGUCCGAUUUCUCCCCAAACAAUUCGACGCAGCCUCCGUUCGGUCGAUUAAAGCUAUUUUGAAUUCCUCCCAAAUUUCAAUUCCGCCUGACCAUGACCGCCCACCGCUACUGCCGUCGGUCAAUAGCAGCCGGCACUGACUCUCCUUUGCGCAUACACUCGCUGGACUCGCUUGCAGACAGCGGCCUCCGUUCCAGUUGCACUCUCCUCGGUCUGGAAUCGCUGACGUCGCGCACACCAGCCGCCGCGUCGCAAGGCUGUCAUGCCAUCAGUCCAUCCGUCGGAUAUCAGGUGCCGCCGAGCGGUGAGAGGCACUCGAGAAUCCACCGAGCAGUCGCUGCCGUCGGGGUCUCACUUCGGUUGGUGUCAUUCUCCAACCAUAUCGGCUGCACUGUCAAUUUCGUUGGACUGCCGUGGACUUCUCGGCUUAGGUUGACUUGGAAAAAUUUGCAAGGAAUCUUCCUCUUCACCUUAUCGCAACGAUUAUGGUUUGGGAAAGGGAAAAAUCCACGUUCAAGUAUUUGCUAUGUGGAAUUCUUCAGUUGCAUUCCAUGUGUGAUCUUGCCUCCCGGGUGCCCAAAAUUGAAUAGAUAUUGCUUGAUGAUGUGAAGAUAUCGGAACAACAACUGAUUGACCUGGUCUUUUAUCUGCUAGUUCUACUUGGAGCAUACAUACAGAUUGCAGUCUACAAUUGUUGACGGUCAUUAUUUCUUCACAGUACCAAGAGGUUGCUCUAGCAUUGACUGCAUAUUACAAGGUGUACAUAUGCAAAGAGGCAGCAUUUGCUGCUGUUUGUUUAGAAGUCAAGUAUCUGUGGACCAAUGAUUCAUCUAGAAGUGUAUCCCCUACUACUGAAGAGACCUUGAAUCACCUCGGCUGCAGUGUGAUUCUUCUCUUCAAUUUCUACAGUCCCUGUGUCAGCAAAAGUUGUUUCGGGAAUGCAUUGUUAACAAACAGGUUAUUUAUAAGUCAAUUUGAGUCCUGAAUCGUUCGUGCUGCAUCAGAAGAUCAUUUAUUCCAUGAGCUUGGGAAGUGGUGGAUUGCAGGAGCAACUAGCUUCCUGUGUUGGACUCGGCUCUGAUGAAAAAAGGAGUAGCUCUACUUCUCAUUUUUGUAGUCGUCAAAAUCAUGGUCUUUGAGGAUUCGGGUAACUCUACUUCUCAUCUUUUUCAGGUGUUGUUCGAGCCCGUAUAUACUCAACUUGGGAUUCUUCCUACUUAUACAUGAGUGCCUAGCUGCUAUUUAUUUUCAUUCAUGCCUGAUAUGUUGAUUUUUAUAGAGAAUUUAAAUGUGAAUUGACAUGUUAUGAUUAAGAGUAAAUUUCCGAGAGGUUGUCUCACAGCUCUCUAAUCUGUGCAUCUCCCUAGUUUUUAAUGAUUUCGUACACAUCACCAGUCGAUAAACAAAGGAUAUUAGCUUCAUAAAUAUCCAAAAAUUGCCCUAGUACUAUGCUACUUUGUAGUGAGGACGAAAAGCUUCCACGAACAGUGUUUCACCACUUGUUAUUUGUGUGUGCAUGCAAGAUUUUCUCUCUAUUGAUUGUCACUACUUUCACCACUUUUUAUGGGUUAUUAGUGUAGACUUCGUUUCUCUCGAGGGUUGGUCUGUAAACUUCUUGUUGCUUACUAACUUCUGGAGAACUAGGUUUCCCGUGCUUCAGAUACAGUGAUAAUAAUGUUCUUUGGUGCCCGAUUUCUUGAGCUAAGGAGAGAGAACUAUUCCGGUUUUGAAAAAUUAAUUCAAAAAGCCAUACGGCCGAUCAACUGAAUGAGAGCUUUAUGAGUUGCAAUCUUGUUGAUAUUGGUGCAUAAAAAUGAUUUAGGCAAUAGGACUAAAAGCCUCAUAUCCAAAUUAUCACAUGCCUAACCCUACAUAAACCACUAGUGUGCCAGUUUGAGCCCCAAAAGCCUAUUUUCUUUCUUGAAAAUUUUGAAGUCACUAUAUUAGCCUACUUAUUAUAUCCGUUUGUUGGCCUAUAUUUUCUACCCUAGUCACUAAAAUUAAAGUGCUAGCACAUUAUUAUUGGGAGGGUAUUUAUGGUGGCAAGGAAAAGAUGGAAGUCCUGGAACAUUCAUUAGGUGGUAUUCAUUUAUAUUGAGAUACAAAUGAAAAAAGUUGUCUCUUCAAACAAAAGUAAAAUAAAAAGGCAGCCUUUAAUGUGUAAAAAAAGCCAAGGCUUGAAAAAAUAAAAAAUAAAAAGGCAACCUUUCACGUGUAAAAAAAAGCCAAGGCUAGAAAAAAAAUAAAAUAAAAAGGCAGCCUUUCAUGUGUAAAAUAAAAAGCCAAGGCAAGUAAAAAAAUAAAAUAAAAAGGCAGCCUUUCAUGAGUUAAAAAAGCCAAGGCCAGAAAAAAGAAUAUCGAGCGAAAAACAGAAAUAUGCUCAAAAGAAUAAGAUCACUUGGUUUAGAAGGUAGAAAAAUCUGUUGGGGUGUUGAGCUGUCAGAAUUUUGUAUUUUAGUGAGAUGGGAAGGAUGUUGUGAGGGAUGUGCUAGUAUUUUAAGAAUAGUGAUAAGCUACUUAUCCAAAUAUGAUCACACCUUUACCAAAAGCCCCGUUACAUCCAAAUGAAAAGACCUUUUGAUUUAUGCAUCAUAUUGACUUGUGAGCGAUGAAUUUUGCUUGAUUUUGGGAGAAAGAUCUUAUGUGCUUAAAAUAAAGAAUAGCUGGAAGAACUUCUCUUUAUGAAUUAGCGACGAUGGUUUGAGACUCCCAAGACAUAAAUCGAACUUACAUUGAAGCAUUGGAUGCCUAGCUCUUAGGGAAUUAGUUCGUGUACAAUUCUUGUUCUAAAAGUCUUACUCGCGAGUGAAUUCGGGCUCAACCUAGUUUCUCUAAAUGAUUCGUGUGAUUUGACGUGACUUGAAGUAGAGGAUUAUCUAAUUUCUUGUGAAUGUGCUUAUUUAUCUAACUUGCUUGAGGGCGAGCAAGACUUAUGUUUGGGAAGUAUUUGAUGUGUGUGGGUAAUUGUUUAAACAUUUAUUCCAGCAAGUUGAAGGGUAUAAAGUUGCAACCAAUAUUUGCUUCAAUAUUCAAACAUUUAUUUACUUUAGUUCGAUAUUUAGUGUGUCAUUUCAUACUAAAGCCAUCAAUGAAAAACUACUGCCAAAUCUUUAUGAUACUCUACACUUGUUGGUACCUGAUAAAAUUGGGGUUGGAAUUGCUUUGUCUAAUUCUGAAGAACACAAUAUCACCACGAUACCAGGAUGUGUGGUUAGUUAUUCUCUUCUUUGUACAUACAUUUAGACAUAAUUUUUUUGUUUGCUGUAGGAAGUGGAAUACAUACAACAGUUUAUUAUUUUUAUCUCCUUGGAAUUCUUCUACUUGUUGCACUAAACCUUAACCCUUUUCUUGGCUGUAUUUAGGAAAGACUUUCUGUUUGAGUCAGAUUGCAGAGCUGCUGUGUACCAAUCCUGUUGCGUUUGAGGCUACUGAGAUAAUUCAGCAUAUUCUUGUGCUACUCUUAGUCGAUUUGAAGGCCUCUCUAAGCAUUUAGAUUCGUUCUUGCAAAUGUUAUCUCUCGUGGAACUAAAGUGUUUUCCGUGAUAGUUCCUACUGCAUAAAUAGACUAGAAAGUACUUAGUCGAUCCGAAGGUCGAGGGUGGUAGGGGGCGACUGAGUUCUUAACUUAAAAGAUGAGGGGGAAAGGGUGGAAAACUGAAGGCACAAGUCUAUUUAUUGAUUUUUGAGCUUGCUUUGUGAUCUUUUGUUUCUUGGUUGUUGCGCCUAUAUUUUUCCUACUUAUUUAAUUCAUUCUUUGCUGCAUUUUGCAGUUUUAUAAUUGAUCUGUUACACAUAUUAUAUUUUUGUUUGUUAUAAUUGAUCUGUUCCAUAUAUUAUAUUUUUGUUUGUUAUACUGUGCCUGACGUUUUUCUACUUUUUCUAAUCCACUUUUUGCUACCUUGCACCAUAAUUAAUUAAUACAUACAUAGCAUCCUAUUUUUCUUUGUCUCAUAUGCCCUGACAAAUACGUGCUAUAUAAGUGUUUCUUUGAUAUGUAAACCCCAUUGAUUGUCAAAUCUUGGUUUCUUAAUAUAUAUGUUAAAUGUUUUUAUAGGCUCUUUCCUAGUUACUUACUACACACAUUUCCUUUUUACUUUGGCAUUCGGUUUGCUGUAAUUGCAUCUAAAAAAAGAAACUGUGGGCCUUGGAAGCUGGUUGGACACUCAAUUAGUGUCAAGUAAAGAUACUUUCUAUGAGGAAUGGAAACUGCAGCUUGUUGCCACUAUGUACAAUACAUGGAAUCUAGACUACUUUGAUUUCUGUAUAUUUGGUCAAGUUCCUCAACAAUUUAAUUUGACUUAACAUCUCUUAUAUGCCAGUUCAGUAGUUUGUACAUAGUCUACUGUGUUUGAGUUUGUUUUCUUUACCUGUCCGUUUGAUGAUUAUGAUUGAUACAACAAAUUCUGGUUUACUGAGUGAACAUAAGAACAAAUUAAUAGUGUUGUAAUAUACUAUUCAACUUAACUAUGAGUUGUAAUGUUACCCCGUUCUAAAAUUUUCAGCUUGCCUGUAAUGUUUAUCCUUUGUGAAUGUUUCUGCUUCAGGAUCAGUCAAUAAGCAUCAACUUGUGACUCACCAUAUGCUGUGUAUUGCUCUACGAGCUGCUUUAGAUGCUGUAGGGAAGCUUGCAAAUUCAAGAGUUUGUUCCUUCCUAGGUUAUUGGUUAAUGUUAUUAUUGUGAAUUUCAGUCUAACCUUGGAUUUAUGACAUUCCAAUGUUUUCCUUCGGGAGAAAGGCAUUAGAGCAGUUUCUGGACCAUCUCAUUCAGUAUAACUGCUCUUUUUUUGACCACCUCACUAUUUAUUCCAGCGAGUUGAAGGGCUGCAACCAAUACUUGCUUCAAUAUUCAAACAUUUAUUUGUUAAACCUAACUUUAGUUCGAUAUUAAGUGUGUCAUUUCAUACUAAAGCCAUCCAUCAAUGAAGAACUUCUGCAUAAUCAGUCUGAUGCUCUACACUUGUUUGUACCUGAUAAAAUUGAAGUUGGUCUAGCUUUGUCUAAUUCUGAAGAACACGAUACCAGGAUCUGUGGUUAGUUAUUCUCUUCUUUAUACAUACAUUUAGAUAUAAUUUUUUGUUUAGUUGUAGGAAGUGGAAUACAUACAACAGUUUAUUAUUUUUAUGUCUUUGGAAUUCUUCUACGUGUUGCACUAAACAUGUAACCCUUUUCUUGUCUGUAUGCAGGAAAUAAAUUCUUUUUUAGUCAGAUUACAGAGGUGUGUGCCAAUCCUGUUGCACUUCCUGUUGCACUUGAGGCUGCCGAGAUAAUUCAGCAUAUUCUCGUGUUACUCUUAGUCAAUUUGAAAGCUUCUCUUUGCAUUUAGAUUCAUUCUUGCAAAUGUUAUCUAUUGUUCAACUACUAAUGUGUUUUCCUUGAUAGAUCCUACUGCAUAAAUAGAGUAGAUUGUACUUAGUCGAUCUGAAGGUCGAGGGUGGUAGGGGUUGACUGACUUCUUAACUUAAAAGAAGCGGGGGGAAGGGCUGAAGACAGAAGGCACAAGUCUAUUUUUUGCUUUUUGAGCUUGCUUUGCUUGAUCUUCUGCUUCUCUGUUGUUGCGUCUAUAUUUUUCUACUUAUUUAAUUCGUUAUUUGCUGCCUUUUGCAGCUUUAUAAUUAAUCUGUUACGUAUAUUAUAUUUUUGUGUGUUAUUAUACUGUGCCUGAUAUUUUUCAGUAUUUUUAAUCCACUCUUUGGUACCUUGCAGCUUUAUAAUUAAGGCAUACGUAGUUUCCUAUUUUUCUUCGUCUCAUAUGCCGUGUACAAAUAUGUGCUAUAUUAGUGUUUCUUUGAUAUAUAAACCCCAUUUAUUGUUAACUCUUGGCAUAUUAAUAUAUCUGUUAAUGUUUUUACAAGCUCUUUCCCAAGUACUUAUGAGACACAUUUCCUUUUACUUUGGCAUUCGGUUUGCUGUGUUGCCACUACUGUGGCAGGGUAACUGAUCUUUCUCAUGAUUUUAAUAUUUUUGCAAUGCCGGAUUUAAUGACAAUGUAUGGAAUCUAGACUACUCUGAUCUCUAUAUAUUUGAUGGCAUGAUUUUUUCUGUUGAAGUGAUCUGUUUGGUCAAGUUCCUCAACAAUUUAUUUUGACCUAACAUCUCUUAUAUGCCAGUUAGGUAGUUUUAUACAUAGUCUACUGUGUUUGAGUUUUUUUAUCUUUACAUGUCCGUUUGAUGAUUAUGAUUGAUAAAUCAAAUUAUUGGUUUACAGAAUACAGAGUGAACAUGGUCCCGGAUAAAUAAUGUUGUAAAAUACUCUUCAACCUAACUAUGUUAAUUGUAAUGUUACCCUGUUGUAAAAUUUUCAGCUUGCCUAUAAUGUUUAUCCUUUGUGAAUGCUUCUACUUCAGAUCAGUCAUUAAGCAUCAACGCGUGACUCGCCUUACGCUGGGUAUUGCUUUACGAGCUGUUUUAGAUGCUUUGUGGAAUCCUGCAGAUUCAGAAGUUUGUUCCUUCCUAGGUUAUCAGGGAAUGUUUUUAUUGUGAAUUAUAGUCUGACCUUGGAUUUAUGACAUUAUGAUGUUUUCAUUUGGGAGUAUGGCAUUGGAGCAGUCUGUGGACCAUCUUGAGUGGCCUUAGUACUUCCAUCAUAUCCUAUACUUUGCAGCAUUUAUAGAGAGGGAACUUAACAGUAUUUCAGCGGCUUAUACUGAACCUGAUGUUGGCCAUAGUGCCAAUACUGAUCACCGACGCGGUUAUUUUGGUUUCAGAUUGCAGGCCCACCAUUUUCUCUGAUCGGACCCGGCAGCAUAUUGUGUGGAUUAGCAAUUCCCUCUUCGAUCUCACUACAACAGAGACCACCAAGUUCUCUAGAUGAGAGUUGACUCCUAAUUACAUGAAGCCAUCACAACACACCUACCCUUCCU